CCCAGACUCCUACGGGAGGCAGCAGUGGGGAAUAUUGCACAAUGGGGGAAACCCUGAUGCAGCGACGCCGCGUGAGUGAAGAAGUAUUUCGGUAUGUAAAGCUCUAUCAGCAGGGAAGAAAAUGACGGUACCUGAUUAAGAAGCCCCGGCUAACUACGUGCCAGCAGCCGCGGUAAUACGUAGGGAGCGAGCGUUGUCCGGAUUUACUGGGUGUAAAGGGCGUGUAGGCGGAGCUGCAAGUCAGAAGUGAAAUCUCCGGGCUCAACCCGGAAACUGCUUUUGAAACUGUAGCCCUUGAGUAUCGGAGAGGCAGGCGGAAUUCCUAGUGUAGCGGUGAAAUGCGUAGAUAUUAGGAGGAACACCAGUGGCGAAGGCGGCCUGCUGGACGACAACUGACGCUGAGGCGCGAAAGCGUGGGGAGCAAACAGGAUUAGAUACCCCAGUA
rnacentral:rRNA from 1 species